GUGACUAAUGACAGAGUGAGAGAGGGUGUGACUAGUGACAGAGUGAGAGAGGGGGUGACUAGUGACAGAGUGAGAGAGGGUGACUGUCACUAGUCACCCCAUCCCUCUCUCUGUCACUAGUCACUCCCUCCCUAACUCUGUCACUGUGUCACCCCGUCGCUCACUCUGUCACUAGUUACCCCCUCUCUCACUAUGUCACUAGUCACCCCCUCUCUCACUAUGUCACUAGUCACCCCCUCCCUCACUA